rnacentral:lncRNA from 1 species
AAAAAAAGGUCAUACAUGUAGGACAAACUGAUUCAAUAAAUUCAAUAAGCAUUAAUUAAGUACUUACUAUGUGCAAGACUGUAAGAUUCAGUGGACGUGGGGCCAGAUCUGGAGCCAAGGCUACCAAGUUUUGGUUCUUCUAACUCUGGCUGGGCACUCUAGGACAAGUCACUUAGCUCAAACAUUCUAAAUUGCAGGACAGAAGCCAAUCUGCAUAAGCUUCCUCUUUGGAAACUCCCUACUCUUUGGACCCAAGAAAGGUGUAAAACACUGCUUUAGGGUGGGGGCAGGGGGCUAUAAAGAUAAAAACCAAAACAGCUCCGGCCUUUAAAGAGAUUCCAUUCUACUGAGGUGGAGCUAGGGGAGGUUAAAGAGAAGAGAGAUGCUGUGUAAACAAAUGCCAGGUCCCAAAUAAGGAAAAGCCUUUACUUAUACCUUCCAAAGGCCCUUUGGGGAAGUUGGAGAAGAGGAGUAGACUUUCUGAGCUUCCUGUUCCUGGAUCAGAUUCCUCUAACUCACUAGGAAAUCACCAUGAGGGUCAUUGCACAAUUUGGAACCUGGCAAGAGUAUCUACAGGAAGAAAUACCUCUGCAAAUCUGCCUUAGAAACAAGGUGGGAGUGUCUAUCCAUCUCAGCUACUAUUAACAACUGACACUGAAGUUAAAACUCCAAGAUG